UCCAUUACAGGGAAAGCCUCGAUGUGU
rnacentral:sRNA from 1 species